rnacentral:rRNA from 1 species
UAAAGGAAGCGAUUCCGGCUACGGAUGGUCAUGCGUCGCAUUAGCUAGUUGGCGGGGUAACGGCCCACCAAGGCGACGAUGCGUAGGGGUUCUGAGAGGAAGGUCCCCCACACUGGUACUGAGACACGGACCAGACUCCUACGGGAGGCAGCAGUGAGGAAUAUUGGUCAAUGGCCGCAGGGCUGAACCAGCCAAGUCGCGUGAGGGAUGACGGUCCUAUGGAUUGUAAACCUCUUUUGUCAGGGAGCAAAGGGCGCCACGUGUGGCGCUUUGCGAGUACCUGAAGAAAAAGCAUCGGCUAACUCCGUGCCAGCAGCCGCGGUAAUACGGAGGAUGCGAGCGUUAUCCGGAUUUAUUGGGUUUAAAGGGUGCGCAGGCGGAAUGUCAAGUCAGCGGUAAAAUUUCGGGGCUCAACCCCGUCGUGCCGUUGAAACUGGCGUUCUUGAGUGAGCGAGAAGUAUGCGGAAUGCGUGGUGUAGCGGUGAAAUGCAUAGAUAUCACGCAGAACUCCGAUUGCGAAGGCAGUAUACCGGCGCUCAACUGACGCUCAUGCACGAAAGCGUGGGUAUCGAACAGGAUUAGAUACCCUGGUAGUCCACGCAGUAAACGAUGAAUACUAACUGUCCGGGCAGAAUGAUGCCUGG